rnacentral:rRNA from 1 species
AGAGUUUGAUCAUGGCUCAGGAUGAACGCUGGCGGCGUGCUUAACACAUGCAAGUCGAACGGAACUCCUAUGAACGAGGUUUCGGCCAAGUGAAUAGGGUGUUUAGUGGCGGACGGGUGAGUAACGCGUGAGUAACCUGCCUUGGAGUGGGGAAUAACACAGUGAAAAUUGUGCUAAUACCGCAUAAUGCAUUUGGAUCGCAUGAUUCUGAAUGCCAAAGAUUUAUCGCUCUGAGAUGGACUCGCGUCUGAUUAGCUAGUUGGCGGGGCAAUGGCCCACCAAGGCGACGAUCAGUAUGGGUUCUGAGAGGAAGGUCCCCCACAUUGGAACUGAGACACGGUCCAAACUCCUACGGGAGGCAGCA